rnacentral:rRNA from 1 species
CAGACGUCAUCUCGGAAAUUCCCUGAG